CGUAGCGUAGCCUGGCACUCAGUUUACCAGCAGUGACUGGGAUGCUCGUACCGGGGUUCAGCCAGUAGCGGGAGGCCGCGGGAUGUGUGUGUGGGUACCGGAAAGGAGCCAUAGUCCCGGGUGUGGCGUGUGAGCCAGGUUCGGUUAUCUUCUGGAGGACAUACGAAGGAUUGUGCUGUCUGUGGACUCCCUCGGCCGCUCG